rnacentral:rRNA from 1 species
AACGUAGGACACAAGCGUUAUCCGGAGUUACUGGGCGUAAAGGGCGUGUAGGCGGAGAUGUAAGUCUAUUCUGAAAGCUCCUGGCUAAACUGGGAGAGGCGAAUGGAGACUGCAUAUCUAGAGUGAGGAAGAGGAAAGUGGAAUUCCGCGUGUAGUGGUGAAAUGCGUAGAGAUCCGGAGGAACACCAGUGGCGAAGGCGACACGCUGGGCCAUACCUGACGCUAAAGCGCGACAGCAUGGGGAGCAAACGGG